GGUGAAUAGUGUCUGUGCAGAGAAGACAAAGCCAAGCCAGAAGCACUGCACCUACUGGAUGGACCCACGCUGUGACACCCUACUGUUACUGGUUCUCUUCAGUCUUGUGGCUCAGAAUACAGCCUCCCACACACUGACAUGCAGGUAAACUAAGCAACUAAGCUGAGAGAUCUGCUGAUGUGAAAUGAUAGCUCUCUCACCUCACUAGUCCAAUUCUCAUAUGCUAAAUUUGUCAACUUUUCCACUAGCCAAGGUCUCUCUCUCUCUCUCUCUCUCUCUUUUUUUUUUUUUCCUCUGAAGUUUUUGUUGUUUCUGUCGAUUUUCAGAGUUUUUCGAAGCUUACCAGCAUUUGGCAAAAAGGUAAGGAACUGACCUUUCCAGUUUGAUGCUGUAAGAUUAAUUCUACCCAGCAACUGUUGGUUUUUAGGAUAAACUUCUGCAAAGCUGCAUGAGUUACACAAUAGAAAGCGUGAAAUGCUCUAUCCUGUUUAAACAGGUUUCAAUGGGGUUGGCAUGCAACCCUGCUCACCGAACAGCAAAUUUUGUAUCUUGUACUGUAGGAUUAAUGUCCCUGCUAGCCGUUCUGCCACACCUAAGGCAAACUUUCUUCCUAAACAGCAGGAGUCAGAGGCUGCACCCCAACAUGCCUGUUUGAAGCAUCACCCAGUACCUUCAGGUGAAGUUUCAGGUUGCACAGAAUUUUGGACAGCUGCAUGUGUCUGCCACAGCAGCACCCCCAUUGCUUACGGGCAUCCUGGAAAGGCAGAAGGAGCAGCAACAUCAAUUUAGAGGGGCUGAGAAACAAAAUUGGUAACAGAGGGUGGGAUCCAUCACUUGUACCAUAGCAGGAUCCAGAGGUAUCCCUACUUGGGCCUUUGAGACAAAAUACAUUUUUAAGAUGCUUGGGCAUUUAAUAACAUUUCUACUCAAUUUACAGACUCACAGAAUAGCUCACUCCGUCUUUUGUUGUCUUUAGAACAUCCAUAACUUCGAUAAGAUCACCUGGCUUAAUAAAAACAAAGAAAGAUUUUCCCAGGAAUUCUGCAUCAUGAGGGUGGUUUCUUUUGUGAUAUGGUAAUUCUAGGAAAGCAGAGCAGUAUGUGAGGGGUCCUUGCCUCUGACUUCUUGGCAUCAUAUAGCACAAAUUUUCUGGUAUUGCUUACAAUCUCAAAAAAAUAAAAUAAAAUAAAGGAAAAGAAAAGAAAUGGAAAAAAAAAAAAAAGACAAAAGAAAAAAGAGAAGUUGAAACCAUGGGUUGUAAUGGCAGCAAAAUUUGGAGUUGGCUGCAGCAUACUGCUUGUUAAAUGCUGUUGUCCCUGGGCCAAAGAGGGUUAGGUAUCUGGCAAUAAUUUAUACCUGUUUUAAAACUUCCUUCAAGAAAAUUUACUAAAUGACUGCCUUCUCAAAUCCUAAAUGGAUUUGUGGAAAAAUGUUUACUCCCCAGAAAGCCUCAUUUCUUGGCUUAUUAUAGACAAAAAUCAAUAACAUGCAGUCUCUCAACAAGGUUUUUCUCUUCAGGAUUAUUUAAAGCUGUAGAGCUAACAAACAGUUUCCUUUAUAUUUCUGAGGUUGGUUAGUGGGGUAGUGUUAUGAUUAUGAGGAUGAAACCCUGAAGAAGCCUAAAGUAACUUAAGAAAUAUUUCCUAGUUUCUCAGGAAAUCCCUGUGGUUGGUUGUUACGAAAUUCUCUGCAUCCAGCAUAAUGCAGUAUUGGCUGGACCAGCACGGGGUAAAACAACCUGUGGCGUGGUGACUACCUACUUGCUAUUUGUUCAGGAUGGUGCAGACACUGCAACGGGGAAAUAAAUUAUACAAGAAAAAGUAAACGUAAUGGUAAUUUCGAAGGAAAUGCCAAGAUUUAGAGAGAAAACAGUAGUCUCAGUGUAGGAAAGAUUCUCAGCUCUCUCCUCUGGGAAAGUUUAGACAAAAAAAUAAUAAUAAUCUGUCUUCCUGCCUGUGACUUCAUUCUCCAGUUACUGAAGUAAAAAGCAAUAUUCCCAUUGACUGAAGCUGUGCAAUUAUGUGUCUUGACUGCCUUCGAGAUAAAUCAUCAAUCUUCACUCUGCUAAAAUAGGAACUUACAAUCCCCUUUCAAGAUUAUUAACAUUUAUAUACCAAGAAAUACCUGGCCUUUUUUCUGGAAGCACCAGGGAAGACUACAAAGGUUUUGGACAAAAUGUAUCACGCAAAUGAUUUGACAAGAAGCCAUCAUCAGUCAAAGGCACGGGUCAGUGAUUUUACAUAUGUACCUCGCCAGCAGCUAGUUUUCCUUCGGUCUUAAUAAUUCAUAGCACAAAAUAAAUUAGAUUCCUAAAUAAUACUGCCCCUUCUAAAUGGAAACAAUUGAAAAAAUAGGUUAAAACGUUAAACUUUAUGAACAAUGGAUUCCUAGGUAUAGAUUUUACAUGGAAACAUAAUAUUUAACUGGUAAAGCUGAGGGCUCUUGUACACUGGUGAAUGUCUGUACCGGCAUGCAGCUUGUCACAGAAGCAAGAGAUCCUAAUAUGAAAAUAGUGGAUCAUUUCCGUUGCCUUUUCUCGAGUAAGACUGCCAUUUGCUUUCAAUAAAAGAUUGUCUGAGUGAAGACAAUAGAAGCAGGUCCCGUAUUUGAGAAGCAAGAACAAACACAAGUAAAUAGGAACCAGGAACGAAGGAGAAGGAGCCAAAAAUAAAUAAACCGGAGGAAAAAGAGCAAGAGAAAUAGGCGGUUUAAUGAGACCGGGAGUGUGGAGAUUAAGUCAAUUUUCAUGCUAGUUUUAAAGCCAAAUUAUAAAGAAAGCAACAGCUCUUAUAUACAAAAAAAUAUGGGUAGACAUGUUUUGGCACAGCAUGCUUUCCUCAGUACACAUGGGGGCUAUCACCUUGUUUUGUUUUGUUUUGUUUUAGAAGGCCUAAAGAGAUGCUCUUAAGUGUGAAAACAUCUUGGAAUAAAUCACAUUAUAACUUUUGCUAAACUGUGUUUUCUCCUCUGUUUUGUGUUACGAGCUGAGUUUGUGAGCCCUGCACGCAGCCUCAUGAUGCCUCUGGCUUCUCUGAAGCAGUAACUUCUGAAUACAGUUUCUGGAGUUGCAGGGAAUAUUCGUGGCAUGAGUGGGCAGAACUUUGUUGAGUUUGGUAAACAUUUAAUAAUGCAGAAGGAUGUAGAAAAGGGUGCAGAGCCUUUUCCAUUUGUUUAUCAGAGCUGCAGUUUGAGGUACUUUUGUAACUGUAUACUGAAUCAAAAAUCCAUUAAGGAUACAUAUCCAAGAUAACAGUGCUCAUUCAUCCUCUCCCCCAGUCCUUUCAAUAGAGCUGAACACAUCCACGCUGCAUAAUUCCUCUCCUAGACAGAAAGAAAACAUAACAGCGGUGGGGGAAUGGGUGCGAACUCAGCCCUGAGGUAAGGAGGGAAGGAGAUGGGGGGAGCCUGAACCAGAAAGAAAAACAGAGCACAAAAUCCUUAGCACAGAAUGAAGUCCUUAGCAUAGGGCGAGUAGGGUAAAGUGAGCCACAAAGAAGAAAAAUGAGAGGAAGACAAAUUCCUUGCAGGAGGUGGAAGGGUAAUGGCAAGGGAGAAGGGUUUGUACAGAGAGCUUUUGGCAUGAGAAAAGAAUUAAGAUCCUAGCAGAAAAAUUGGGGUACACUGGUGUGUCUGUCUCUGGAUGAUGGGAGGUGGAGAGUCAUGGUACCUGCUUAAAACAGGGAGCAGGUGAAGAGGAUGCUGAGCUACCAGGAAGGUCAUAAAAUAAUGACUGUAAUGUCUGAGGUUUGAAAGAUGGGGCUGAGGGAUAUGGGGAACCCUGAAACUGAAAUGGAAGCUGUCACACUGAGAGCUUUUUUUGCGUGCAAUUUGAAAGAUGGCUUUAAA
rnacentral:lncRNA from 1 species